rnacentral:pre_miRNA from 1 species
CUACUACUCCCUCCGUUCCGAAUUACUUGUCUUGGAUUUGUCUAGAUACAUAUGUAUCUAGACUCAUUUUAGUGCUAGAUACCUCCGUAUCUAGACAAAUCCAAGACAAGUAAUUUGGAACGGAGGGAGUAUCUG